CACGGGGGGAGCGAACGUUGUUCGGAAUCACUGGGCGUAAAGAGUGUGUAGGCGGUGUUCUAAGUCUGUUGUGAAAUCUCCCGGCUUAACUGGGAGGGUGCGGCGGAAACUGGAAUGCUAGAGGAUGGGAGAGGUAAGCGGAAUUCCUGGUGUAGCGGUGAAAUGCGUAGAUAUCAGGAGGAACACCUGUGGUGUAGACAGCUUACUGGACCAUUUCUGACGCUGAGACACGAAAGCGUGGGUAGCAAACAGG
rnacentral:rRNA from 1 species